UACGUAGGGUGCGAGCGUUAAUCGGAAUUACUGGGCGUAAAGUGUGCGCAGGCGGCAGAGCAAGUCGAGUGUGAAAGCCCCGGGCUUAACUUGGGAAUUGCGCUCGAAACUACUUUGCUGGAGUGUGGCAGAGGAAGGUGGAAUUCCACGUGUAGCGGUGAAAUGCGUAGAGAUCGGGAGGAACACCCGUGGCGAAGGCGGCCACCUGGGCCGACCCUGACGCUGAGGCGCGAAGGCGUGGGGAGCGAACGGG
rnacentral:rRNA from 1 species